GUACCUCCAGAUAGCUCAGCUGGCUAGAGUGUGGCGCUGAUAACGCAAGGUUGCAGGUUUGAUCCCCGUAUGGGACA